rnacentral:rRNA from 1 species
AGCGCACCUAGGCGACGAUCAGUAGCUGGUCUGAGAGGACGAUCAGCCACACUGGGACUGAGACACGGCCCAGACUCCUACGGGAGGCAGCAGUGGGGAAUUUUCCGCAAUGGGCGAAAGGGGAAGAAUACCUGACGGAGCAAUACCGCGUGAGGGAGGAAGGCUCUUGGGUUGUAAACCUCUUUUCUCAACUUGAGGAACAAUGACGGUUAAGCAUCGGCUAACUCCGUGCCACCAGCCGCGGUAAUACGGAGGAUGCAAGCGUUAUCCGGAAUGAUUGGGCGUAAAGCGUCCGCAGGUGGUAAUGAAAGUCUGCUGUUGCUCAAAAGAGUGAG